rnacentral:rRNA from 1 species
AACGAACGCUGGCGGCAUGCCUAACACAUGCAAGUCGAACGAGACCUUCGGGCCUAGUGGCGCACGGGUGCGUAACGCGUGGGAACCUGCCCUUAGGUUCGGAAUAACUCCCUGAAAGGGGUGCUAAUACCGGAUAAUGUCUUCGGACCAAAGAUUUAUCGCCUUUGGAUGGGCCCGCGUUGGAUUAGCUAGUUGGUAGGGUACAAGCCUACCAAGGCGACGAUCCAUAGCUGGUCUGAGAGGAUGAUCAGCCACACUGGGACUGAGACACGGCCCAGACUCCUACGGGAGGCAGCAGUGGGGAAUAUUGGACGAUGGGCGAAAGCCUGAUCCAGCAAUGCCGCGUGAGUGAUGAAGGCCGUAGGGUUGUAAAGCUCUUUUACCCGGGAUGAUAAUGACAGUACCGGGAGAAUAAGCUCCGGCUAACUCCGUG